rnacentral:rRNA from 1 species
GGGUUGUGAGGUUAAGCGACUAAGCGUACACGGUGGAUGCCCUGGCAGUCAGAGGCGAUGAAGGGCGUGCUAAUCUGCGAUAAGCGCCGGUAAGGUGAUAUGAACCGUUAUAACCGGCGAUACCCGAAUGGGGAAACCCAGUGUGACUCGUCACACUAUCAUUAACUGAAUCCAUAGGUUAAUGAGGCGAACCGGGGGAACUGAAACAUCUAAGUACCCCGAGGAAAAGAAAUCAACCGAGAUUCCCCCAGUAGCGGCGAGCGAACGGGGAGGAGCCCAGAGCCUGAAUCAGCAUGUGUGUUAGUGGAAGCGUCUGGAAAGGCGCGCGAUACAGGGUGACAGCCCCGUACACAAAAGCGCAUGUGUUGUGAGCUCGAUGAGUAGGGCGGGACACGUGGUAUCCUGUCUGAAUAUGGGGGGACCAUCCUCCAAGGCUAAAUACUCCUGACUGACCGAUAGUGAACCAGUACCGUGAGGGAAAGGCGAAAAGAACCCCGGCGAGGGGAGUGAAAAAGAACCUGAAACCGUGUACGUACAAGCAGUGGGAGCACCCUUUUGGGUGUGACUGCGUACCUUUUGUAUAAUGGGUCAGCGACUUAUAUUCUGUAGCAAGGUUAACCGAAUAGGGGAGCCGGAGGGAAACCGAGUCUUAACCGGGCGUUAAGUUGCAGGGUAUAGACCCGAAACCCGGUGAUCUAGCCAUGGGCAGGUUGAAGGUUGGGUAACACUAACUGGAGGACCGAACCGACUAAUGUUGAAAAAUUAGCGGAUGACCUGUGGCUGGGGGUGAAAGGCCAAUCAAACCGGGAGAUAGCUGGUUCUCCCCGAAAGCUAUUUAGGUAGCGCCUCGUGAAUUCAUCUCCGGGGGUAGAGCACUGUUUCGGCUAGGGGGCCAUCCCGGCUUACCAACCCGAUGCAAACUGCGAAUACCGGAGAAUGUUAUCACGGGAGACACACGGCGGGUGCUAACGUCCGUCGUGAAGAGGGAAACAACCCAGACCGCCAGCUAAGGUCCCAAAGUCAUGGUUAAGUGGGAAACGAUGUGGGAAGGCCCAGACAGCCAGGAUGUUGGCUUAGAAGCAGCCAUCAUUUAAAGAAAGCGUAAUAGCUCACUGGUCGAGUCGGCCUGCGCGGAAGAUGUAACGGGGCUAAACCAUGCACCGAAGCUGCGGCAGCGACACUGUGUGUUGUUGGGUAGGGGAGCGUUCUGUAAGCCUGUGAAGGUGUGUCGUGAGGCAUGCUGGAGGUAUCAGAAGUGCGAAUGCUGACAUAAGUAACGAUAAAGCGGGUGAAAAGCCCGCUCGCCGGAAGACCAAGGGUUCCUGUCCAACGUUAAUCGGGGCAGGGUGAGUCGACCCCUAAGGCGAGGCCGAAAGGCGUAGUCGAUGGGAAACGGGUUAAUAUUCCCGUACUUGGUGUUACUGCGAAGGGGGGACGGAGAAGGCUAUGUUGGCCGGGCGACGGUUGUCCCGGUUUAAGCGUGUAGGUGUGUGUUCCAGGUAAAUCCGGUUCACUUUAACACUGAGGCGUGAUGACGAGGCACUACGGUGCUGAAGCAACAAAUGCCCUGCUUCCAGGAAAAGCCUCUAAGCAUCAGGUAACAUCAAAUCGUACCCCAAACCGACACAGGUGGUCAGGUAGAGAAUACCAAGGCGCUUGAGAGAACUCGGGUGAAGGAACUAGGCAAAAUGGUGCCGUAACUUCGGGAGAAGGCACGCUGACACGUAGGUGAAGUGAUUUACUCAUGGAGCUGAAGUCAGUCGAAGAUACCAGCUGGCUGCAACUGUUUAUUAAAAACACAGCACUGUGCAAACACGAAAGUGGACGUAUACGGUGUGACGCCUGCCCGGUGCCGGAAGGUUAAUUGAUGGGGUCAGCGCAAGCGAAGCUCCUGAUCGAAGCCCCGGUAAACGGCGGCCGUAACUAUAACGGUCCUAAGGUAGCGAAAUUCCUUGUCGGGUAAGUUCCGACCUGCACGAAUGGCGUAAUGAUGGCCAGGCUGUCUCCACCCGAGACUCAGUGAAAUUGAACUCGCUGUGAAGAUGCAGUGUACCCGCGGCAAGACGGAAAGACCCCGUGAACCUUUACUAUAGCUUGACACUGAACAUUGAGCCUUGAUGUGUAGGAUAGGUGGGAGGCUUUGAAGUGUGGACGCCAGUCUGCAUGGAGCCGACCUUGAAAUACCACCCUUUAAUGUUUGAUGUUCUAACGUGGACCCGUGAUCCGGGUUGCGGACAGUGUCUGGUGGGUAGUUUGACUGGGGCGGUCUCCUCCUAAAGAGUAACGGAGGAGCACGAAGGUUGGCUAAUCCUGGUCGGACAUCAGGAGGUUAGUGCAAUGGCAUAAGCCAGCUUGACUGCGAGCGUGACGGCGCGAGCAGGUGCGAAAGCAGGUCAUAGUGAUCCGGUGGUUCUGAAUGGAAGGGCCAUCGCUCAACGGAUAAAAGGUACUCCGGGGAUAACAGGCUGAUACCGCCCAAGAGUUCAUAUCGACGGCGGUGUUUGGCACCUCGAUGUCGGCUCAUCACAUCCUGGGGCUGAAGUAGGUCCCAAGGGUAUGGCUGUUCGCCAUUUAAAGUGGUACGCGAGCUGGGUUUAGAACGUCGUGAGACAGUUCGGUCCCUAUCUGCCGUGGGCGCUGGAGAACUGAGGGGGGCUGCUCCUAGUACGAGAGGACCGGAGUGGACGCAUCACUGGUGUUCGGGUUGUCAUGCCAAUGGCACUGCCCGGUAGCUAAAUGCGGAAGAGAUAAGUGCUGAAAGCAUCUAAGCACGAAACUUGCCCCGAGAUGAGUUCUCCCUGAGACUUAAAGUCUCCUGAAGGAACGUUGAAGACGACGACGUUGAUAGGCCGGGUGUGUAAGCGCAGCGAUGCGUUGAGCUAACCGGUACUAAUGAACCGUGAGGCUUAACCUUACAACGCCGAAG